AUUGAACGCUGGCGGCAUGCUUUACACAUGCAAGUCGAACGGUAACAGGUUAAGCUGACGAGUGGCGAACGGGUGAGUAAUGCAUCGGAACGUGCCCGGUCGUGGGGGAUAACGCAGCGAAAGCUGCGCUAAUACCGCAUACGAUCUGAGGAUGAAAGCGGGGGACCGUAAGGCCUCGCGCGAUCGGACCGGCCGAUGUCAGAUUAGGUAGUUGGUGGGGUAAAGGCUCACCAAGCCAACGAUCUGUAGCUGGUCUGAGAGGACGACCAGCCACACUGGGACUGAGACACGGCCCAGACUCCUACGGGAGGCAGCAGUGGGGAAUUUUGGACAAUGGGCGAAAGCCUGAUCCAGCAAUGCCGCGUGCAGGAAGAAGGCCUUCGGGUUGUAAACUGCUUUUGUACGGAGCGAAAAGGUCUCCUCUAAUACAGGGGGCUCAUGACGGUACCGUAAGAAUAAGCACCGGCUAACUACGUGCCAGCCGCCGCGGUAA
rnacentral:rRNA from 1 species